rnacentral:rRNA from 1 species
GACGAACGCUGGCGGCGUGCUUAACACAUGCAAGUCUAACGGAAAGGCCCUGCUUUUGUGGGGUGCUCGAGUGGCGAACGGGUGAGUAACACGUGAGUAACCUGCCCUUUACUUUGGGAUAACUUCAGGAAACUGGGGCUAAUACCGGAUAGGAGCUCCUGCUGCAUGGUGGGGGUUGGAAAGUUUCGGCGGUUGGGGAUGGACUCGCGGCUUAUCAGCUUGUUGGUGGGGUAGUGGCUUACCAAGGCUUUGACGGGUAGCCGGCCUGAGAGGGUGACCGGCCACAUUGGGACUGAGAUACGGCCCAGACUCCUACGGGAGGCAGCAGUGGGGAAUAUUGCACAAUGGGCGGAAGCCUGAUGCAGCAACGCCGCGUGCGGGAUGACGGCCUUCGGGUUGUAAACCGCUUUCGCCUGUGACGAAGCGUGAGUAACGGUAAUGGGUAAAGAAGCACCGGCUAACUACGUG